rnacentral:rRNA from 1 species
AUUGAACGCUGGCGGCAGGCCUAACACAUGCAAGUCGAGCGGAUGAAGGGAGCUUGCUCCUGGAUUCAGCGGCGGACGGGUGAGUAAUGCCUAGGAAUCUGCCUGGUAGUGGGGGAUAACGUCCGGAAACGGGCGCUGAUACCGCAUACGUCCUGAGGGAGAAAGUGGGGGGUCUUCGGACCUCACGCUCUCAGAUGAGUCUAGGUCGGAUUAGCUAGUUGGUGGGGUAAAGGCCUACCAAGGCGACGAUCCGUAACUGGUCUGAGAGGAUGAUCAGUCACACUGGAGCUGAGACACGGUCCAGACUCCUACGGGAGGCAGCAGUGGGGAAUAUUGGACAAUAGGCGAAAGCCUGGUCCAGCCAUGCCGCGUGUGUUAAGAAGGUCUUCGGAUUGUAAAGCACUUUAAGUUGGGAGGAAGGGCAGUAAGUUAAUACCUUGCUGUUUUGACGUUACCAGCAGAAUAAGCACCGGCUAACUUCGUG